UUUGCAGUGUCUCACUUAAAUUUUUCUCUAUCUUUGUAUCUCCAUUUCAGAUAAAUUGUUAUCUUUCCAAGGGUUGAGGAGAACAUGGUCGUGGUUCAAGUGAAGCCACUACAGCCACUCCCUGACAAGCCUUCCACACCGACAGUGGCAGCAGACACACAAGAGAGGAUGGUGUGGUGGACAAGGGGAUGCAAGGAGACGGCAGACAGAAUGGAAGCUACAGAUGAAAGAAGAGCAGGUCAAGCCAUGGUAGCAGACAAACAGACAGACACAUUGGAUCAGAAAGAAGUAUUAUUUAGUGAGACAGGCCCACUGGAAGCUGUCAGUCUGCUGCGGCACGUGGCAAGAACCAAGUGUUGAGGAGCACACGUUGUCCCUUCACCAGUCAGCAGGUCUGGGCGGCUCGGAAGUCUCACUACAAACUGGAGACCCGUUCUCUUGGACACAGUAGGAGUCGGACACAAGAUUCAAGAGGGAGUCAUUUUAACGAGAGCUUCAGGCAGAAAAUUCGAGUGGAUUUUCAUUUCUA